GCCCGUGUGGCGCAAUGGUAGCGCGUUUCCCUCCUAAUGUAGGAACCCGUACUGCAUGCUACAGGAAAAGGUUGUGAGUUCAAGUCUCAUCUCGGGUG
rnacentral:tRNA from 1 species